UCCCAGUUAGUACAAUGGUUAGUAUAGGGCACUCUCACAUUGUAAGCAUUAUCUCAAAGCUGAGGAACUGCUCAGAUCAGGGUUCGAUUCCCUGGCCGGGAA